UACGUAGGUGGCAAGCGUUGUCCGGAAUUACUGGGUGUAAAGGGCGUGUAGGCGGGGAAGCAAGUCAGAUGUGAAACCCCAUGGCUCAACCAUGGGCUUGCAUCUGAAACUGUAUCUCUUGAGUGUUGGAGAGGAAAGUGGAAUUCCUAGUGUAGCGGUGAAAUGCGUAGAGAUUAGGAGGAACACCAGUGGCGAAGGCGACUUUCUGGCCAGCAACUGACGCUGAGGCGCGAAAGCGUGGGGAGCAAACAGG
rnacentral:rRNA from 1 species